UAUACAAUAUCCACUGUACCAAAGACAGCAAGGUUCUUUUCACUGAGGCGUACAAAGCCACUUUAAAAGAAUUAAAAAUCUUGCCGAGGUUAAUCAAUAUUGAAAGCACACAGCGAUUCUAAGCACUAAUUUUAAGUUGUCGCAUGUUAAAAAGUGCAUAUCAAAUGAUUAGACUCACCUUUGGUGAGUUUUUUUUUACUUGAAGA
rfam:Candidate division WWE3 bacterium RBG_16_37_10 RBG_16_scaffold_400, whole genome shotgun sequence.